GGAAUUCAUCUUUUGUAUGCAGGACCUGUUGAUUCUCUGGCAAGCCUUCAUAGACACCCCCCUCCUCCACAGAAAAAUGGGAGAGACAGAGAGGAAGGGAAGUGGACUAUGGGCUGAGAGGUAAUAGUUACUAGUAGGAAGGAGAUGUGGAUUUGUACUGACAGAGUGUUGGGGAACAGAGAUAAAUCAAUAGAUCUGCAUGUAUCAAGGAGGUAGAGUCAACAGAAAUUGAUGAUUAAUUAAAUGUGGGAGGGAAGAAGAGGAAGGAGACAAGGAUGACUCAAACUCUGGCUUGGGCAGCAGAAAAGGUGCUGGUGCCAUACACUGGGGCAGGAGAGGAAGUCCAUCCUGAGAUUUCAGCUUCAUAUGUGUUCUGUUUGAAUACUUUUAAAACACUCUUAUGGAGGAACAUGGUCCUGCAGGUCGGAAAGAUGACAAGACAUAUACAAGAGCAUUUGAAUGCCAACCUGCAAUGGUGGUCAAGCCCGAGAACCAGGCCAUCUGUGAAAGAUGAAGAGAACAAGAGAAGGAUUCCAGCUAGGGUGAUCAGGGAAGGCAGAUUAAGAGCUGGGUCAGAAAGAGUAGUUAAAAAAAAA
rnacentral:lncRNA from 1 species